rnacentral:rRNA from 1 species
ACGAACGCUGGCGGCGCGCCUAACACAUGCAAGUCGAACGAGCAAGAGAGAGCUUGCUUUCUCGAGCGAGUGGCGAACGGGUGAGUAACGCGUGAGGAACCUGCCUCAAAGAGGGGGACAACAGUUGGAAACGACUGCUAAUACCGCAUAAGCCCACGGUGCCGCAUGGCACAGAGGGAAAAGGAGCAAUCCGCUUUGAGAUGGCCUCGCGUCCGAUUAGCUAGUUGGUGAGGUAACGGCCCACCAAGGCAACGAUCGGUAGCCGGACUGAGAGGUUGAACGGCCACAUUGGGACUGAGACACGGCCCAGACUCCUACGGGAGGCAGCAGUGGGGAAUAUUGCACAAUGGGGGAAACCCUGAUGCAGCGACGCCGCGUGGAGGAAGAAGGUCUUCGGAUUGUAAACUCCUGUUGUUGGGGAAGAUAAUGACGGUACCCAACAAGGAAGUGACGGCUAACUACGUGCCAGCAGCCGCGGUAAAACGUAGGUCACAAGCGUUGUCCGGAAUUACUGGGUGUAAAGGGAGCGCAGGCGGGAAGACAAGUUGGAAGUGAAAUCUAUGGGCUCAACCCAUAAACUGCUUUCAAAACUGUUUUUCUUGAGUAGUGCAGAGGUAGGCGGAAUUCCCGGUGUAGCGGUGGAAUGCGUAGAUAUCGGGAGGAACACCAGUGGCGAAGGCGGCCUACUGGGCACCAACUGACGCUGAGGCUCGAAAGUGUGGGUAGCAAACAGGAUUAGAUACCCUGGUAGUCCACACCGUAAACGAUGAUUACUAGGUGUUGGAGGAUUGACCCCUUCAGUGCCGCAGUUAACACAAUAAGUAAUCCACCUGGGGAGUACGACCGCAAGGUUGAAACUCAAAGGAAUUGACGGGGGCCCGCACAAGCAGUGGAGUAUGUGGUUUAAUUCGACGCAACGCGAAGAACCUUACCAAGUCUUGACAUCCCUUGACAGGCAUAGAAAUAUGUUUUCUCUUCGGAGCAAGGAGACAGGUGGUGCAUGGUUGUCGUCAGCUCGUGUCGUGAGAUGUUGGGUUAAGUCCCGCAACGAGCGCAACCCUUAUCCUCAGUAGCCAGCAAGUGAAGUUGGGCACUCUGUGGAGACUGCCAGGGAUAACCUGGAGGAAGGUGGGGAUGACGUCAAAUCAUCAUGCCCCUUAUGAUUUGGGCUACACACGUGCUACAAUGGCGUAAACAAAGGGAAGCGAACCCGCGAGGGUGGGCAAAUCUCAAAAAUAACGUCCCAGUUCGGACUGUAGUCUGCAACCCGACUACACGAAGCUGGAAUCGCUAGUAAUCGCAGAUCAGAAUGCUGCGGUGAAUACGUUCCCGGGUCUUGUACACACCGCCCGUCACACCAUGGGAGUUGGAAAUGCCCGAAGUCAGUGACCCAACCGCAAGGAGGGAGCUGCCGAAGGCAGGUUCGAUAACUGGGGUG